UACGUAGGGGGCAAGCGUUGUCCGGAAUUAUUGGGCGUAAAGAGCUCGUAGGCGGUCUGUCGCGUCUGCUGUGAAAACUCAGGGCUUAGCCCUGAGCUUGCAGUGGGUACGGGCAGACUAGAGUGCGGUAGGGGAGACUGGAAUUCCUGGUGUAGCGGUGAAAUGCGCAGAUAUCAGGAGGAACACCGGUGGCGAAGGCGGGUCUCUGGGCCGAUACUGACGCUGAGGAGCGAAAGCGUGGGGAGCGAACAGG
rnacentral:rRNA from 1 species